rnacentral:rRNA from 1 species
CGUGUAGGCGGAUGGGGACGUCGGUUGUUGAAAGCCCCCGGCUUAACCGGGGGAACUGGCACCGAAACGCCCCGUCUGGAGGGACGUAGGGGGACCUGGAACUUCCGGUGGAGCGGUGAAAUGCGUUGAGAUCGGAAGGAACGCCCGUGGCGAAAGCGAGGUCCUGGACGUUUUCUGACGCUGAGACGCGAAAGCUAGGGGAGCGAACGGGAUUAGAUACCCCGGUAGUCCUAGCUGUAAACGAUGGGCACUGGAUAGGGGGCUCGCCGAUGGGCUCUCUGUCGUAGGGAAGCCGUGAAGUGCCCCGCCUGGGGGAGUAUGGUCGCAAGGCUGAA